GGUCUGAUCACAGCUGGAACAACUCUGAACAAAUGUUUCAAGCGAGACAUGAGGCAGAGCAAUCUCUCAGCACAACUGAUAGGAAAAUACAGGAUCCUCUGGCUUCGUUGGAGCAAACUUGUUUCACAAGUAGGCUGUGCGAUGGGGAAAGUUUUCGGUCUGUACCUGGUGCUUAUGUUGCUCUCAACCACUGUCUCCCUGUACGGAGUGUUGUCUAGACUGCAGAAGAAGCAGGCGCAGCCCCUUGUGGAAGUGGG